rnacentral:rRNA from 1 species
ACUCGAGUCUUUGACGCAAGUUGCGCCCGAAACCAUUAGGUUGAGGGCACGCCUGCCUGGGUGUCACAUGUCGUCACUCCCUAUGUAUUUGGUCAUUGGGGUGAAGGUUGGCUUCCUGCGAGACUAAUUCCUCGUGGUUGGUUGAAAACUAGUUUAGCGGUGCAGUCCCCUGCAAUAAAUGGUGGAUGAGAAACUCCUCUCGAGACCAAUUGUGGGUGUGGUACUGUGCUUGAUGGAAUCAUUUGACCCUAUUGUGUUGUUUGUCUGUAAUAAUGAUGUACUUAUCGAGACCUCAGGUCAGGCGGGGCUACCCGCUGAGUUUAAGCAUAUCAAUAAGCGGAGGAAAAGAAACUAACAAGGAUUCCCUUAGUAACGGCGAGCGAACCGGGAACAGCCCACCAUGAUAAUCGAUUGCCUUUGGCGUUCGAAUUGUAGUUAA